rnacentral:rRNA from 1 species
UGCCUCAGUAACGGCGAGUGAAGCGGCAAGAGCUCAAAUUUUAAAUCUGCCUUUCAGGCCGAGUUGUAAUUUGUAGAGGAACGUUCGGUGACGUCUAGGUCCGAGUCUUCUGGAAGGAAGCGCCGAUGAGGGUGAGAGCCCCGUACGACCGACGACUUAGCCAUGUGAACGUCCUUCGAAGAGUCGAGUUGUUUGGGAAUGCAGCUCAAAGCGGGUGGUAAAUUCCAUCUAAAGCUAAAUAUUGGCCAGAGACCGAUAGCGCACAAGUAGAGUGAUCGAAAGAUGAAAAGCACUUUGGAAAGAGAGUGAAAAAGUACGUGAAAUUGUUGAAAGGGAAGCGCUUGCGACCAGACUUGAUCGUUCAGUUCAAAGGUUCUUUUGGACCUGGUACUUCUGUCUGAUCAUGCCAACAUCAGUUCGGACGGUUGGAUAAAAGCCUUGGGAACGUAGCUCCUCGGAGUGUUAUAGCCCUUUGCACAAUACAGCCAGACCGGACUGAGGAAUGCCUUUUGUAGGAUGUUGGCGUAAUGGUUGCCAGCGGCCCGUCUUGAAACACGGACCAAGGAGUCUAACAUCCAUGCGAGUGUUUGGGUGGAAAACCCGCACGCGAAAUGAAAGUGAACGGAGGUGGGAGCUUCGGCGCACCAUCGACCGAUCCUGAUGUCCUCGGAAGGAUUUGAGUACGAGCAUGGCUGUUGGGACCCGAAAGAUGAUGAACUAUGCGUGAAUAGGGCGAAGCCAGAGGAAACUCUGGUGGAGGCUCGCAGCGGUUCUGACGUGCAAAUCGAUCGUCAAAUUUGCGUAUAGGGGCGAAAGACUUAUCGAAUCAUCUAGUAGCUGGUUCCUGCCGA